UACGUAGGGGGCGAGCGUUGUCCGGAUUUAUUGGGCGUAGAGAGCUCGUAGGCGGUUUGGCAAGUCGGGUGUGAAAACUCCGGGCUCAACUCGGAGACGCCACUCGAUACUGCCAUGACUAGAGUCCGGUAGGGGAGUGCGGAAUUCCUGGUGUAGCGGUGAAAUGCGCAGAUAUCAGGAGGAACACCGGUGGCGAAGGCGGCACUCUGGGCCGGUACUGACGCUGAGGAGCGAAAGCGUGGGGAGCGAACAGG
rnacentral:rRNA from 1 species